rnacentral:rRNA from 1 species
AUUGAACGCUGGCGGCAUGCCUUACACAUGCAAGUCGAACGGUAGAGUAGCAAUACUCGAGAGUGGCGAACGGGUGAGUAAUAUAUCGGAACGUGCCCAGUCGUGGGGGAUAACGUAGAGAAAUUUACGCUAAUACCGCAUACGAUCUAUGGAUGAAAGCGGGGGAUCGCAAGACCUCGCGCGAUUGGAGCGGCUGAUAU